CAUGUGCCUAUGGUAGUUGAAAUUUGUGUGUGUGCGUGUAUAUAUAUAUACACACACACACACAAAUAUACACAAUUUGCA
rnacentral:miRNA from 11 species